rnacentral:rRNA from 1 species
AGCGAACGCUGGCGGCAGGCUUAACACAUGCAAGUCGAGCGGGCAUCCUUGUGGUGUCCGCGGCAGACGGGUGAGUAACGCGUGGGAACGUGCCCUUCGGUUCGGAAUAACUCAGGGAAACUUGAGCUAAUACCGGAUACGUGCGAGAGCAGAAAGGUUUAUCUGCCGAAGGAUCGGCCCGCGUCUGAUUAGCUAGUUGGUGAGGUUAUGGCUCACCAAGGCGACGAUCAGUAGCUGGUCUGAGAGGAUGAUCAGCCACACUGGGACUGAGACACGGCCCAGACUCCUACGGGAGGCAGCAGUGGGGAAUAUUGGACAAUGGGGGCAACCCUGAUCCAGCCAGGCCGCGUGAGUGAUGACGGCCUUAGGGUUGUAAAGCUCUUUUCUUCGGGACGAUAAUGACGGUACCGGAGGAAUAAGCCCCGGCUAACUUCGUG